rnacentral:misc_RNA from 1 species
UUAAGUUCAGCGGGUAUCCCUACCUGAUCCGAGGUCAACCUGGUAAAAUGGUGUGUUUUGACGGCGACGAGCCCCCCGGUCCCACAAGCGGAUUGAGUUGCCACAACGCUUUGAGACGGACGGCUCAGCCGGAGACAUUAGGGCGCGCCGACGGAGCAGCGGCGCCCAAGGCCCAGCGAGGCUGGAGUGGUGAAAUGACG